rnacentral:rRNA from 1 species
AUGGAAGAGCACCGUGAGGAAAGAUGCUGGGAGGACCUAUUGCCAGAUGCCCUGGGACUCAUCUUCCGCAACCUCUCCCUUCAGGAGAUGCUCACCGUGGUUCCCCGGGUUUGCAAGUCCUGGAGCCGGGUGGUCUCAGGGCCCUACUGCUGGCAGGAGAUCGACAUCCAGGAGUGGAGCCAGCAGCAGAACAAGCCUGACCAGCUCACCCGCAUGGUUCAUACGCUUGUCACUCGCAGCGGUGACUCGUUCCGCCGCAUUAGCGUGUCCGGGCUUCCCAAUGACUCGUUGUUCACCUUCAUCGCCAACCACGCGCGAUCUCUCAAGACCCUGGAGCUUCCGAGGAGCGAGAUCAGCGACUGCAUCGUGGAAGACGUCGCGCAAAGGCUGUCCAACGUCACGUUCCUGGACGUCAGCAGCUGCACCAAGAUCGGCGCCCGCGCCCUGGAGGCGUUCGGCAAGAACUGCAAGUCCCUGGUGGGGCUCCGGCGGGUGAUGCACCCCAUAGACGUCGCCGGCAAGGUGUGCCAGCACGACGAGGCCCGCGCCAUCGCGUGCAGCAUGCCGAAGCUCCGGCACCUGGAGAUCGGGUACAUGCUGAUCGCGACCAACGCCGUGGUGGAGAUCGCGUCCCGGUGCCGCGACCUCAGCUUCCUGGACCUGCGCGGCUGCUGGGGCGUGGACGACAAGCUGCUGCAGGACAAGUACCCGGGGCUCAAGGUCCUGGGCCCCCGCGUGGACGACUGCUACGAGAACAGCUUCCUGGAGGAGUGCUCCGACGACUCGGACGACGACUCCAUCUACUCGUGGGAGGAGUACAUGGACGACGAGGACUACUUCGCCGCCGGGAGCGACGACGAGGAGGCCCUGUGGGACGACGGCCACGCCCUCGAGGGGCUCGAGGUCAGGUUCUACGGCGGCGGGUUCGGCGAGGGCGCCUUCGCCGGGAUCGACUGGCCGGAGUCUCCAUGA